rnacentral:rRNA from 1 species
UACGGAGGGUGCAAACGUUGCUCGGAAUCAUUGGGCGUAAAGCGCACGUAGGCGGCGCGUUAAGUCGGGUGUGAAAGCCCUGGGCUCAACCCAGGAAGUGCAUUCGAAACUGGCGCGCUUGAAUAUGGAAGAGGGUCGCGGAAUUCCCGGUGUAGAGGUGAAAUUCGUAGAUAUCGGGAGGAACACCAGUGGCGAAGGCGGCGACCUGGGCCAAUAUUGACGCUGAGGUGCGAAAGCGUGGGGAGCAAACAGGAUUGAGAU